rnacentral:rRNA from 1 species
CACGUAGGGGGCGAGCGUUGUCCGGAUUUAUUGGGCGUAAAGAGCUCGUAGGCGGCUCGGUAAGUCGGGUGUGAAAACUCUAGGCUCAACCUAGAGACGCCACCUGAUACUGCUGUGGCUAGAGUCCGGUAGGGGAGCAUGGAAUUCCUGGUGUAGCGGUGAAAUGCGCAGAUAUCAGGAGGAACACCGAUGGCGAAGGCAGGUCUCUGGGCCGAUACUGACGCUGGAGGAGCGAAAGCGUGGGGAGCGAACAGG